rnacentral:misc_RNA from 1 species
AGCAAAAAAAGAUGGAAGUUUUAGUUCAUAUUACCGCAGCGAACCUGGACGAAGUGGUAAUGAUAGCAAACGCAGCAGUGAAGGUGUUCUUGCUCCUGCCAAUUGGAGAAGCACUAGCAAGGCGUCAGAUGGUAUGGAAUCGGAGUCAAGCAGCAUCGAUCCAUAUGGUGGAAGGUAUGGUGGUGAAAGUUCAAGUUCUGGACAGAAAGGUCUUUAUGUUGACGGAUUAGGAAAUGAUAACAAGGUUAAGAAGGUUAAACUUAGGGUUGGUG